rnacentral:rRNA from 1 species
CUGGCGGCGUGCCUAAUACAUGCAAGUCGAACGGUCUUUCUAUGGAAGCUUGCUUCCACUGAGAAGAUAGUGGCGAACGGGUGAGUAACACGUGGGUAACCUGCCCAUAAGAGGGGGAUAACAUCCGGAAACGGGUGCUAAUACCGCAUAGUUUUCUUGAUCGCAUGAUCGGGAAAGGAAAGACGGCCUUUGUGCUGUCGCUUAUGGAUGGACCCGCGGCGUAUUAGUUAGUUGGUGAGGUAAUGGCUCACCAAGACGAUGAUACGUAGCCGACCUGAGAGGGUGAUCGGCCACAUUGGGACUGAGACACGGCCCAAACUCCUACGGGAGGCAGCAGUAGGGAAUCUUCCGCAAUGGACGAAAGUCUGACGGAGCAACGCCGCGUGAGUGAAAGAAGGUUUUCGGAUCGUAAAACUCUGUUGUCAGAGAAGAACAAGUUGGAGAGUAACUGCUCCAGCCUUGACGGUAUCUGACCAGAAAGCCACGGCUAACUACGUGCCAGCCGCCGC